GACGAACGCUGGCGGCGUGCUUAACACAUGCAAGUCGAACGGAAAGGCCCUGCUUUUGUGGGGUGCUCGAGUGGCGAACGGGUGAGUAACACGUGAGUAACCUGCCCUUGACUUUGGGAUAACUUCAGGAAACUGGGGCUAAUACCGGAUAGGAGCUCCUGCUGCAUGGUGGGGGUUGGAAAGUUUCGGCGGUUGGGGAUGGACUCACGGCUUAUCAGCUUGUUGGUGGGGUAGCGGCUUACCAAGGCUUUGACGGGUAGCCGGCCUGAGAGGGUGACCGGCCACAUUGGGACUGAGAUACGGCCCAGACUCCUACGGGAGGCAGCAGUGGGGAAUAUUGCACAAUGGGCGGAAGCCUGAUGCAGCAACGCCGCGUGCGGGAUGACGGCCUUCGGGUUGUAAACCGCUUUCGCCUGUGACGAAGCGUGAGUGACGGUAAUGGGUAAAGAAGCACCGGCUAACUACGUG
rnacentral:rRNA from 1 species